UUGCAGCCGCACACUCUUUAGGUUCGCCCAUUUCUCUAAUGGAGCUGUAACACUGGCUGCUGAGGUCCACAGCUUCAUUCCUUGAAGCCCCUGAGACACGAGCCCUUCAAUUGAGAAAAACCUUCGAUCGGAAGAAGACUUCUUGUCUCAAUGGGAUUGCUGAGUUGAAUGGCACCUCUGUUUUAAGUUCUCUGAAAAGUCUCCAAACUGCUUUCCAUAGUGGCUGAAGUAAUUUUCAUUCUCACCAACAGUGUGAAUUUUCCUCUUUUUUCAAACUUGAGAAGCAAAAGUGCCACAACAAUUGUGAAGCGAUUCAGAGGAAGAAUGUCAGCUUUUGACAAGUCAACUUUUAUCUCACUCGAAGUAACUGGAAGAAAUCAGCAGAUGAAAGGAAAAUUGAUGAUUGAUGAGACCUUCGGCACAAAAAGUCAUAUCUAGGUGACACAGAAGACUGAAGAGGUAUACAGAAGGAGAAAUGUUUCUCCCCCAGGGAGAAAUGAGGCUCAUCUCUUUAUCUUCAGAUGCUGCCAUGCCUGAGAAGUAGUCAUGUUAAGAGGAUGACAACGUACUUUGGGGGACUAACGAUUGUUCAGGGCGAGACUAUGGACAAAGAAAAUAAAAAUGUAAAAGGCAGAGAGAAUGAAAGAAGGU